rnacentral:rRNA from 1 species
GAGACCCACGCCCACAGUUGCCAGCGUACUCUCUGGAGUGACGGGUACACUGUGGGGACCGCCGCUGCUAAAGCGGAGGAAGGAAUGGGCAACGGUAGGUCAGUAUGCCCCGAAUGUCCCGGGCUACACGCGGGCUACAAUGGUUGGUACAAUGGGUAUCUACCCCGAAAGGGGAUGGAAAUCUCCUAAAGCCAAUCUUAGUUCGGAUUGAGGGCUGCAACUCGCCCUCAUGAAGCUGGAAUCUGUAGUAAUCGCGUUUCAAUAGAACGCGGUGAAUAC